GACGAACGCUGGCGGCGUGCUUAACACAUGCAAGUCGAGCGGUAAGGCCCUUUCGGGGUACGACGAGCGGCGAACGGGUGAGUAACACGUGGGUGACCUGCCCUCAGCUCUGGGAUAAGCCUGGGAAACCGGGUCUAAUACUGGAUAUGACUCCAUGACGCAUGUUGUGGGGUGGAAAGCCUUGUGCGGCUGAGGAUGGGCCCGCGGCCUAUCAGCUUGUUGGUGGGGUGAGGCCUACCAAGGCGACGACGGGUAGCCGGCCUGAGAGGGCGACCGGCCACACUGGGACUGAGACACGGCCCAGACUCCUACGGGAGGGCAGCAGUGGGGAAUCUUGCGCAAUGGGCGAAAGCCUGACGCAGCGACGCCGCGUGAGGGUGAC
rnacentral:rRNA from 1 species